rnacentral:lncRNA from 1 species
AAAUUAUACAAAAGAAUUUACAUUGUGUAAUGUAAAAAUACAUACAGGUAGAACACAUCAAAUUAGAGUACAUAUGGACCAUAUAGGUCACCCAUUGGUAUCAGAUGUAAAAUAUUUAAACACGUCCCUUAGUAAUCUAGAUAAAUAUUGGUGCUUCCGUAUGUUCUUACAUUCAGUCAUGUUAGAAUUUAGUAAUCCUGAUUAUUAUUUUUACAAUGUUCAUAAAGAUUUGAAAAAAAAUUUAUAUUCAGCUGGUGUUGUUUUAUCGAAUAAUAACAUUUCGAAGAAACCACCACCUGAACGAAUGGUAAAAGCAAUUUGUCCCCUACCAAAUGAUUUACGAUCAACAUUAGAAAACGAAUUAGAUGUUGUUGAUAAUUUGGAAAGUGAAAAUAGUUAUGUAAAUAAAAUAUUAAAGAUGAGUGCAUUUGACAAAAAUAAUGAAGCAAUGAAAAAUGCCAAACCAAUAAUUGAUUUAAAUGUUGUUCCUAGUAAUGCUAAAAAAGAUUUACAAAGAACUAAAAAGGAAGUGAUAGGUGAAGAAGUUAUUGUUAAUAAGAAUACGAACAAGUUGGAAAAGGAUGUAUUUGCAUUUAACAAUAGAAGCGGAAGUAGCACCAAAAAAACUAACAUUAAUGACAUUAUUAAUGACAUUAUUAAUGACACCAUUAAUGAUACCAUUAAUGAUACCAUUAAUGAUACCAUUAAUGAUACCAUUAGUGAUACCAUUAAUGGUAGCAUUAUUCAACAAAAGAGUUCCACAAUUAAAAUAGCAAUGUCAAAUGAAAACAAUCGAUUAAAUGAUGAAGAAAAACAACUUGAAGAAAUGUCAAUAGAACAAGGAUUGAGUAGUGAACUGAGUAGUCAAAUAGGUACCAUAACAAAUGGGGAUGUAGGUGUUAGCAAUGAAGAACCUACUUCACCAGAUAUCGUAUCUGUUAAUAAUCUAAUCGAUUUAAAUGACGUAUUAUUAAUUGGAAAAACUGAAAAUGCUGUUAAAUACCAAAUGGAUAGACAAAAAAUAAAACAAAAAAAAAGUAAUAGUGUUACUUCAGAUGAGGAUGUUAUUGAAAAGAUAAAUAAAAAAAUAAAUGAUCAUAAUUUGGAUACUAAUAUUAAGACUGAUUAUAUUCGAAAGGGAGUUGUAAAAAUGGUUUAUGAGGAUUUUUUCCAUGCAGAUAAUAAAUUACAAACAGUGGAUAACAACAAAGACAACUGUGACAACCGUAACAAUCGUGACGACGAAAAGGAAACAAAUCUAUUUAUUGACCAAAAAAUAGAGCAGAGCAAAAUCAACAACAAACUCAAAUACAAUUUCAAUUCUUUUGUAAAAGAAGUAAAAAAUGUUAUAGAAAAUAUAAUACUAAACAGUUAUGCAUUCAAAAUUAUUACAUAUAUGUUUAAUUUAAAAAAGGCUUUGGUUUAUGUGUUGAAUGUGUUAGGAAAAGAAGUAACAAAACAAACCAAAAAAAAAAAAUAAUAACAAUAAAAACAAAAAAAAAAGACGUUAUCUUGAAAUG